rnacentral:rRNA from 1 species
UACGGAGGGGGCAAGCGUUGUUCGGAAUUAUUGGGCGUAAAGGGCGCGUAGGCGGCCUGCCAAGUCGGGUGUGAAAUCCCUCGGCUCAACCGAGGAAUUGCAUCCGAUACUGGCUGGCUGGAGUCCGGGAGGGGAUGGUGGAAUUCCCAGUGUAGCGGUGAAAUGCGUAGAUAUUGGGAAGAACACCGGUGGCGAAGGCGACCAUCUGGACCGGAACUGACGCUGAGGCGCGAAAGCCAGGGGAGCGAAUGGG